AGACGGAGAGAGAACGUGACCAUAAGCCGGCGCCACCGCCAUGAUCAUCACCAACCACCACGGAGUUGUGCCCCUGUGAACCUAAACCCACCAGACGUGUGACCUAUAGCACCAGAGAUACUUUUGCGCAGCAGAGAUUUCUUCAUGUCUUAAGCUGGGGAGAAGAGAUGGAUACAUCAGACCCAUGGCUGAGGAGUGGUUUUGCGAGAGGUUUCUAGUACGAUCCAGGGGGUUCUAGGCAACGAGUCAUGGCUCUUUGGAUAGAUCUCGUUUCUAGGAAUCUGCAGAAACAAACGGAAUCAAGAUCGGAGUUGUACAACAAAUGUUAUUGACAUGCUUCUUGGACAAGAAUAAGCUUAAGCUGUUGGAAUGCUGAAACAGUUCCGACCAGUGUCAGAGUAAAGGCGAAACGGUGAACCUUAACAAAGGCUUUCAGUCUGGGACUUUUACAAUAAGUAUUUAACUCUUUCAGUUAUCAUCUCCAACAGACGGAUUGUCAUUCCAAGUUAUUUUCUGAGAGUUAAGCUUGUUUUCGUGAGAGGUGUUGGUGCAGUCUACGUUUUCGACCAGUCUGGAGACGAAGCUAAUUUGAUUAAUCAGAUGGUGUCCGAUCGGAGUAAAACCGGUGGCUACGGAUAUAGGACAUCUAGGGCUACAUUCGGACCGGAGGGAUUGAAAAGUUAACGGUCAGUUCUUGAGUUAUGCAUCUGUUUUCUCUAGUGUUCAGUUUUGGCAGAAUCAUCAUACUCAUUUAUUUUCAGACUUUCGGAGUUGCUGUGAUAGAGCCAUCAAGGGCUAUUCUGUGCUUCUCAGGUUCUUUAGAACCCGUGGCAAAGGUGAGGGUCUAUGCCGUAAAUCCCGUACCAGUGUAGAAUUCUUGCUAUGUUAGUUUAGAUUUCGAAUCAUGAUCCGUCUGUUUGAAUUGAGUCUGUUUGAGUCUUGAUUGUUAGUUAGUCAUUCAUUGUAAAUUGGAACUAGGGGUCUAGAGGAUUCAACCGUUGGUUUGAUUGUGUGAUGUUAAGAAAUGCGAUAUAUAUGUAUGUAUACAUAGUUAUGAGUAGGGACUAUGUGAGUGGGCGGGGGUCCAGAGAUGUCUGGACUAGCGACGCAGCUUUGGAGGGCGGGGGCUCAGAGACGUCUGGGCUAGCGAUGCAAAUUGUGUGGGGCGUGGGUGCAGAGACGUUUGCAUUCGACGCAGCUUUGGAGGGCGGGGGUACAGAGACAGACUGUACUAGCGACGCAGCGUAUGUAUAUAUAUAUCCGUAUGAGGAGAUGCGGGGUGUAUGGACUAGCUAUAUGCUAUCAUCGCAUUGCUUGCGUUGUGUGAUGCUUUAGGCGUUUUGUUUGUUCAUGUUAGAGCUAAACUUCCAUAGUGGGAGUUCUAUUACUCAAGUCAGUGGUUUGCGUGUUUAGCAUCCCCAUACCUCACGGAGUAACUCCCCUGUUGCUCACCCCUCUUCUUCCCCUUGCAGGUGCGCUUGCCGAGUGUUGGAUAUCUGGACGGUUUGAUGUCUUUGGGAUAAUUUAUUUAUUUCGGUUUUGAUUACUAAUUUAUACGAAUAUUAGAUUCGAUUUAUUUUGAUAUAUUUUUAUACUUCAAUUUAAAAAUAUAUUUCUUUGAAAAUUAUUUUAUUAAGUGUUAUGUUAUUUUGUUCGAUUUUGAAUAAUUCGGUUUGAUUCGAUAUUUCACCGUAAGUAACACGCCGUUCUCCAUAUAGGAGGUGAUGGGUGUUAUAAUUUGGUAUCAGAGCGGGGUUCCGUCACGGCACUGACCCGAGAUGGCGAUUUGUUGGGACGUGGUUUCGACUCGGUUUUAAUUCGGUUUAAUCGGUUUUUAAAGAUUUUUAAUUAUGGGGUUUUGGGAGUUUAAAAAAAAAGAAAAAUACAGCACCUUUCCGUUCAGAAACUUCUAACCCAAGUGUCUUUUUAUUGACAAUGAGUUUAUCAUCGUCAUCCGUUCUCUAGCUAACAGGGUUUCAGCCAGAUGUUCGACAGAUGGAUGAUGUCACAGCUCGACUGAUUGCUUAGGUGUGUAUCAGUUUCGUCAGCCGUGUUCAGAGAUUGUCUGCAUAUGGAUAUUCGACAUUGUUGCCACCACCCUAACUUCAAGCCAUCGCUCCAAGAGUUUUUGUUAUUGGAGAUUAUGUGGUAUGAGAUGUGAGCCAUGAGUUGGCAUGUGUUAUUUGUGUGUAUGAGUAUAUUUACUUCCUUGGAGGCAUGGUUAUUUUGUAAACUCGGGGGAUCACUUUUGGAUUGGGGUGCGACAACUUGCGUUGUGUGAUAUUGGACUUACGCUUGGUAUGUUUUCCAGUUUUUGACAGUGUUGAUCAUUUCAGAGAUGUGUCAGUUCGGACAGCUGACAUAGGAACGUUGGGGGCUAUUUAUAUUGAUUGCGGUGUACUAGUUAUCCUUGGAGGGCCAAUUGGUUCAGAGAAUCAUCAGAGAUGGAGUUGUGUUUUGCGAUGUCAUUCUUGGGAUGGAUUUGUUAUCACGACAUCAAGUAUUGUUGGAUUGCAUGAGGGUAAGAGUUCAUAUUUCUGGAGCAGAGCAGAUUUUAUUUGCAUACAUGCUACAUGCAGAGGAGUUAUUAGAUAUGGGGAGUAAAUGGAUUUUGGUGAUCAUUUCGAUGGUCAACAUGAAUUGCAGGAUGUUCCAGUUAUCUCAGAGUAUGGAGAUGUAUUUUAGGCCUUUGGAAGGGCUGUCACCAGCCAGAGGAGAUGUUCUUACGAUCGAGUUGGAGUCAAGGAAAACACCGGUUUCACGAGUUCUAUACCGAUUAGCGCCAGCAGAGAUGGCUGAGCUGAAGGAACAUAUGGAAGAUUCAUCAGACAAGAGAUUUAUCAGGCCGAGUAAUUCACCGUGGGAAGCACCAGUGUUGUUUGUAAAGAAAAAAAAAUGAUGGGAGUUUCAGGCUUUGUAUCGACUACAUAGACUUGAACAUGGUAAGUGGUAACCAUCAUAUCGAUGAGUUGUUGAAUUAGCUGCAUGAAGGUUCAUGGUUCUCGAAAGGUGUCUUGGCAUCAGGACAUCAUCAUAUUGCUAUAGUUGAGGAGUAUGUACGGAAUAUGGGUUUCAGUAUACGUUAUGGAUAUUAUGAGUUUUGGUGACAUCAUUUCGGAUCGACGAAAGCACCGAUAGCAUUUGAGAAGCUAAUAAAUGAUGUCUUUCGCGAACACUUGGACAAGUGCGCGAUUGUACUCAUCGACGACCCCAUUGAGUUAUUCUUGGAGUAGAGGGAGCAUGAGGAGCAUUUGCGGAUUUUAUAUUAAUGCAUCAGGAUCAAGACAUUCCAUAUUCAUUGCAUCAGUUAAGACCUCACGAGACCCACUACCCUAUUCAUGAUUCAUAGUGGCUGCAGUGGUAUUUGUGUUAUAGUUUUGGAGAUUGUAAUUGUACAGGAAGAAAGUUCAGAUUCUCUGGGAUCAUUGGAGUCCGAAAUCUAUCUUCAUUCAUUAAAACUUGUACUUGGACAGUGCAGUUGGAUUGAGUUGGUAGCAGGCUACAAUUGGAUAUUGCAUACCAUAUGGUAAAGACAAUCAGGUAACAAAUGCCUUGGGUAGGCACAUGAGCGACGUAUCAGGAACCAAAGAGGUUCAUGAUUUAUUGGGAUAUUUGCUAGUCUCAGAUUGUGUGUCAUUACUGUCGAUGGAGAGACAGAUGGCCUUGGGACUUUGGAGCAUGCAGUUUUGCUAUGGAGGAUACGCCAAGCGUAUGUUAGCGUUAUGGCUUUGUAAGACGAUCGAGAUUGGGAGUAUUGGAUAUCAUAAGUGUUGAGCGGGAUGUACCUGUACCAAAACCGAGUUGUGUGUUUGACGAUAAGCUGUUAAGAAAAGGGAUCUUACAGCAAAUACAUCACUCGUGUUUCUCUACCCAUCGGGAACACGAACGGGUACAACGAUAUGAAGUGUUAACUAUAAUUGGUCUAGUAUGAAGAGAGUUGUAGCUUCAUUUCGUCACAGUGUCAGACAUGUCAGAUGGCUAUGUCAGAGGAUCAGUUAUCUAUUAUGUUAUUUUUGAGCUUGCUUUUGCCGAAGUGGAAAUGAUGCAUGGUGAUUAUGGACGUUGUUAUUGGAUUUUAAAUCACUAUAUUUGGAAAGGAUGCCACAUGGGUAGUCAUGGAUAGACUUACCAAGUCAGCCUAUUUCCUAAGUAAUUCAGAAACAGUCAGAGCUAAUAAAUUGGAGCAUAUCUUGAUUUUGGAAGGUUUCAUUGAUGUCAACAUUGUAUCGGAUUGGGAUUCGAAGUUCACUACAUUUUUGGAGUCAUUCAGAAGGAACUUGGGACAAAGAUCCACAGGAAUACAACUUAUUAUCAGCAUACAGAUGGUUAGUCAAAGAGAACUAUUCAUGCUUAAAGGACAUGCUCAGAUUUGCGUCUUAUAGUGGGAUGGAAGAUCGGAAAGCAUUACAUCUAGCAGAGUUUACCUACAACCACAACUAUAGUUCAAGCAUUGAGAUGACACCGUAUACCACUUUGUUGGACCAAAGUGAGGGAGUGACAUGAAUUAGAACUAUCAAUUGUUCAAGAGAUGGUAUAGCAAAUAGACAUGCUCAAGGAUUGGCUUUGGGAAGCCCACGACGGAAGAGGAUUUAUGCAGCAAAGCGCCGUAAGGAUUUGGAGUUACAUAUGAAUGAUCUAGUGUACCUGAAAAUAAUGACAUUUUAGGGAGGACUCAAGGCUCAUGAGCUGAAGCAACUAGAACCGAGGUACAUUGGACUGUAUCCUCUAGUGGAACGAAUUGGAGCAGUUGAUUGGAGUUAUUUUAUCAGCAGUGUAUCAAACUUUCAUGGUGUGAUCUAAGUGAGAUCAAAUGCAUAUGAGAAUUGAUUAUUCAGAUGAGGUAUUGGACAGUCGGCUCAUUAUUUGAAUUCGAGGACGAAUUUCUUAUUAGUGGGGGAGAAUUGUAACGACCCGGUUUUGUGAACCGAAGCUGGUUUAAGCUUUCUUUAAUUAUUUGUGAUUAAACCAAACAUUUCCCCAAACCAAGUCUUAUAUAUAUGAUCGUACAUAUCCUCUUCCCUAAUUGAAAAGCCCUAGCCGUAAGAAACCAUCUCCAUCUUCACGAUCUCUCACUCUUUGGUUGCAGCCAUGUAAGAGGAGCUCUGCCAUUGUUGACGCAUCACCACCGUAUCUUUUCUCUGUUGUUAAUGGCUUACCAUCUCUAUGAUUCAAUCUCCACGGAAGAACACAGAUGUAAUCACCAUAUUGGAACUAGUUGGCUACGUUACGAGACGGAGAGAGAACGUGACCAUAAGCCGGCGCCACCGCCAUGAUCAUCACCAACCACCACGGAGUUGUGCCCCUGUGAACCUAAACCCACCAGACGUGUGACCUAUAGCACCAGAGAUACUUUUGCGCAGCAGAGAUUUCUUCAUGUCUUAAGCUGGGAGAAGAGAUUGAUGCAUCAGACCCAUGGCUGAGGAGUUGUUUUGCGAGAGGUUUCUAAUACGAUCCAGGGGGUGCUAGGCAACGAGUCAUGGCUCUUUGGAUAGAUCUCGUUUCCAGAAAUCUGCAGAAACAAACGGAAUCAAGAUCAGAGUUGUACAGCAAAAGUUAUUGACAUGCUUCUUGGACAAGAAUAAGCUUAAGCUGUUGGAAUGCUGAAACAGUUCCGACCAGUGUCAGAGUAAAGGCGAAACGGUGAACCUUAACAAAGGCUUUCAGUCUGGGACUUUUACAGUAAGUAUUUAACUCUUUCAGUUAUCAUCUCCAACAGACGGAUUGUCAUUCCAAGUUAUUUUCUGAGAGUUAAGCUUGUUUUCGUGAGAGGUGUUGGUGCAGUCUACGUUUUCGACCAGUCUGGAGACGAAGCUAAUUUGAUUAAUCAGAUGGUGUCCGAUCGGAGUAAAACCGGUGGCUACGGAUAUAGAACAUCUAGGGCUACAUUCGGACCGGAGGGAUUGAAAAGUUAACGGUCAGUUCUUGAGAUAUGCAUCUGUUUUCUCUAGUGUUCAGUUUUGGC
rnacentral:lncRNA from 1 species